GCAGCAGUAGCUGAGUGAUAGAGCCCCCGCUUCGCAUGCGGGGAGACCUGGGUUCGAUUACUGGCUGCUUCC
rnacentral:tRNA from 1 species